GUAGGUGGCAAGCGUUGUCCGGAAUUAUUGGGCGUAAAGCGCGCGCAGGCGGUUCUUUAAGUCUGAUGUGAAAGCCCACGGCUCAACCGUGGAGGGUCAUUGGAAACUGGAGAACUUGAGUACAGAAGAGGAAAGCGGAAUUCCACGUGUAGCGGUGAAAUGCGUAGAGAUGUGGAGGAACACCAGUGGCGAAGGCGGCUUUUCUGGUCUGUAACUGACGCUGAGGCGCGAAAGCGUGGGGAGCAAACAGGGAUUAGAUACCCUGGUAGUCCACGCCGUAAACGAUGAGUGCUAAGUGUUACGGGGGUUUCGCCCCCUUAGUGCUGCAGCUAACGCAUUAAGCACUCGCCUGGGGAUACGGCCGCAAGGCUG
rnacentral:rRNA from 1 species